CGCUCAUCCAGAGGGGCAGAGGGAUACGGCCCGUUGAAGCCCCGGCAACCCUCCAGCCGGUCUCCGCCGCAGGCACAGCACGUUGCGCGCGCGAGGCUCCCGGCUAGGGAAGGUGCCAAUUCCGUCUCACGGCGAGAUGCGCCGUGAGGAAGAUGAGGA
rnacentral:ncRNA from 2 species